rnacentral:rRNA from 1 species
CAUUACAGAGAACAUGCCCUAGCGGGUAGUCCUCCCACCCGUGAGAACUCACACCCUUGUUGCUUUGGCGGGCCGCGAGCCCCUCGCUCCCCUCGGGGAUGCGCCCGCCAGAGGCCCAAAUUCUGUGUCGGUGUCGUCAGAGUACUAUACAAUAGUUAAAACUUUCAACAACGGAUCUCUUGGUUCUGGCAUCGAUGAAGAACGCAGCGAAAUGCGAUAAGUAAUGUGAAUUGCAGAAUUCAGUGAACCAUCGAAUCUUUGAACGCACAUUGCGCCCUAUGGCAUUCCGUAGGGCAUGCCUGUUCGAGCGUCAUUGCAACCCUCAAGCUCCGCUUGGUGUUGGGCUCCGCCUCGGGGCGGGCCUCAAAGACAGUGGCGGCGCCCCCGGGCCCUGAGCGUAGUACAUCUCCCGCUACAGGCCCCCGGUGGUGGCUGGCCAGCAACCCCCAAUCUUACGUGGUUGACCUCGG